GAGGACGCGUCAAACUCAACAUAUAUUCCUAACCUCCUUUGCAAACCCAUUUUGGUGCGGGGAUGGCGGUGCUACAGGCACAUAUACUGCGCAUCCAAAGCUUCUUAAAUGGGAUGUAUUUGGUUCAUGACCCAAAACCAAUUGCAAUGGGGAAUAUUUGUGUCCAUUCGUCAGUCAGAGACAAACUAGCAUUGCUGCAUGCAACAUGGCGUGACCCCAAACCGAAGU
rnacentral:lncRNA from 1 species